rnacentral:misc_RNA from 1 species
GAAGUGCGAUAAGCAAUGCGAAUUGCAGAACCGUGAGUCAUCAGAUUUUUGAACGCAACUGGCGCUGACUGGCUAUCCAGUCAGCAUGCUUGUUUCAGUGUCUCUUUAUCUCAUCACCCAAAUCUUAAUGCGAGAGCUACCCUUCUCUUGCUAAGCAUGAAAGCACUCUACGCUCUGCGAGCGGCUUCGAUUCGUCGAUGUCCGCACUCAAUGCAGCAGUCACAUUCUUGCAAUGUGAACUCAUUGAGAGUUGAGGUAGUGCAGCGUAAGCUGCCAGUGCUUAGACACUCAAACUUUACUUGCAUCUGAAAUCAAGCAGGAUUACCCGCUGAACUUAAGC